GGGCGCGCCGCCGGCUCCCGGCCAAGGUGGGCGCUCCGCGUUAGACACGAGCCCAGCCGUUUCCUUCAGCUCUGAAUUGCAUAUGCGUUGGCGCAAUCUGUACUUUAUGGCUGCUGGACCUCUGUUGCCUCUGUCCUUACUGCUACCGGGGAUGCGCGGAAUCCCAGAGCGGGGAAGGCCCGAUUGAGCAGUCCGAGCCCAGUCUCUUCCCGGAGAGGGACGGGGAGCUGUCUGCGCCCUGACGGUCCGGAAACCGAUCGAUAAUCAUUCAUUCACGCGCUCCGCGGUGUUCGGAGCCCGUUAGGCACAGGAAGGCUCAAAGAGCGGCCCCUGGGGGGCGGGGUGCUGCGCAAACCCCUGGAAGUCCGAGGACGUGCUCAAGCUCGAGGUGCUGCGGCGUGUCCCGCGGGGUAGUGUUGGGGAGCCCGGCCGGUCGCGGGAGGUGUCCCCCCGCCCCCCGUCGUGGCUGUCUUCUGGCCUUGGGCUUGGCGUUGCUGACACCUCUCUGCUACCUGCUAGAGCAGCUGCAAGGUGGAAGGGAGAAGUACAGAAACAAGCACAGGAUAGUGUGGAAUUCAAGGGUUCCGUGAGCAACCCUUAAAGAUAAGAAAAAUGUAGAUUUAAGGAAGAGAUUCCCGUGUCAGUGGUGCACUUGAGGUACUGUGAUAAUGUGGGUCUUUGUUUUUCCUUCAGGGAUUAUUACAUUUCUCCCGCAAAUGGGUUUUCCGGUCUGUGAUUUCUUCCAAUAAAAUUCAUCCCCUAAGCAACCACCAGAGUUGCUUUCCUAAAACAUAACUCUCACCAUUGCACUGCCUUGAUGGAACACUGUAUUCUGGCACUCACCCUCCAUAUGGCAAACAUUUCUAAGCUCACCUCUCACGACGCCUCGUAAUGCAGCUCUUUCUCCGGCGUUGAGGUUGGACAGGCAUUGCUGCCUCCGUAGGCUGAACUGUAUCCCUCCAAAAUGCCUGUGUUAAAGCCUUAACCGCCAAUGUGAUGGUAUUUGAAAGUAGGGCCUGUGGGAGGUAAACAGGUUUAGAUGAGGUCAUGAGGGUGGGGUCCCCAUGAUGGGAUUAAUUCCCUUGUGAGAAGAGACAUCAGAGAACUCUUUGUUUCUCCACUUCCGAGGAGACAGCUAAAAGGCAUCCUUCUAUUUAUUUAUUUAUUUAUUUAUUUAUUAUUUAUGAUAGUCACAGAGAGAGAGAGAGAGAGAGAGGCAGAGACACAGGCAGAGGGAGAAUCAGGCUCCAUGCACCGGAAGCCCAAUGUGGGAUUCGAUCCCGGGUCUCCAGGAUCGCGCCCUGGGCCAAAGGCAGGCGCCAAACCGCUGCGCCACCCAGGGAUCCCAAAGGCAUCCUUCUUAAGAAAAGAGCUGAUGGGCACCUUGAUCUCGAACUUCUUAGCUUCCAAAAUCGUGAGAAGUAAAUUUUUGUUGUUUAAGCCACCCGGUCUGUGGUAUUUUGUUAUGGCAGUCUAAGCACUUAUACAUCACCUCUGUAUUAGUUUAAUUAAGAAACUAAUUAGCAUUUUAAAUAUGGAGGUUACCAUAAGAAUAAUUUAAAAGGAGACAUUUGAACUAUGGUAGAAAAAAAUUUCAUAAUGAUUGAACAGGAGGAGAAAAAAAAUAUUGAGGGUUUUAGAUCUUCAAUGAUCUAGAGAAUGCUAUUAGUGAUGACUAAUAAGAUGGUCAAUAAGAGGACUAGAGAGGAAAUCUAGGGUACUUUUGCCUGGGGGGAAAAAAA
rnacentral:lncRNA from 1 species